rnacentral:misc_RNA from 1 species
AAAAAAUUUGCUUGUUAAAUAAAAUAAAAAAAAUAGUAAAGUGACUGGUAACUUUAAUGUCAUAUUUAUUACUCUAUUAAUAAACAUAGACAUAACAAUGUGGCCAAAAACACCAAGUGCUUUUAAAAAACUCAAAGAUUAUCAUUGGAAAAAGUUGUUGACAAACCAACAAGAGUUGUCAGGAUGGAGAACGAUGGCUAAUGAAUCCAAUGAAACACCAAAAGGACAUAAUUUAUCAUUACCUGAAAGUAAGCAUGUCGUGAUAUGUGGAGGUGGUGUCAUGGGUGCUGCAGUUGCUUAUCACUUAGCAGCUGCGGGAUUAGGACCACAGACUAUUCUUCUUGAAGGGUCCAGAAUUGGUGAAGGGACAACUUGGCAUUCAUCUGGUUUAGUUGGAGCAUUUAAACCAAGUUUAUUUCAAGUCAAGCUAACACAAGACAGUAUUGCUCUGUACAAAGAUCUUGAAGCAAGAGGUCUUUCAACUGGAUGGAAACAAUGUGGGAGCCUGUCAGUUGCCAGAACUAGAGAUAGGAUGACAUCCUUCAGACGUAUGAAAGCUCAAGCUGUAUCUCGUGACAUCGAAUGCGAGCUGAUAACUCCAGCAGAAGCCCAAAAACUUUGUCCUCUACUCCGAGUCGAUGAUUUAGUAGGCGGUAUCUGGAUCCCCGGUGAUGGUGUCGCUGAUCCUUAUCUUACUUGUUUAACUUUAAUCGAAGAAGCUCAGAAAAACGGAGUAGAAAUUUAUGAAAAUUGUCGUGUAACAAAAGUAUUGAGUAACCAAGGAAAAGUGUCCAAAGUUGAAACCACUCGUGGUAGUAUUAAUUGUGAACACUUUGUCAAUUGCGCUGGAUUUUGGGCUAGAAGUAUUGGGAAAUUAAGUGAUCCUUAUGUUAAGGUGCCAUUACAUCCAGUGGAACAUUACUAUCUACACACAAAAAAAAUACCAGGCUUGGAUCCAAUGACUCCAGUGGUACGAGAUCUAGACGGGUCUGUUUAUUUUCGCGAAAACGGAGGAAGAAUACUAGCCGGUGGCUUUGAAUCAAAUGCCAAGCCAGCAUUCGAAGAUGGGAAAAUACCUGAAAAUAUAUCGGAGAGAAUUUUACCCGAAGAUUGGGACCAUUUUCAUGUUCUGUUGGAGGAAAUGCUCCAGCGUAUUCCCUCGAUGGGAGAUGCUGAAUUAGAACGUCUGUGCAAUUGUCCAGAAGCCUUUUCUCCCGACUGUAAAUGGAUCGUCGGUGAAGCUCCGGAACUUCGAAAUUAUUACGUCGCAGCUGGAAUGAAAACCAUCGGAGUUUCGGCAGCUGGUGGGGUAGGACGAGCCACUGCGGAGCUCAUAAUUAAUGGAUCAACCUCCUUUGACAUGUACGAGCUAGAAGUCUCGCGAUUUUUGGGUCUCCAUAAUAAUCGGACUUUUCUACGUGAUCGAGUUAGAGAGGUACCGAGUACGCAUUACGCGCUUCAGUAUCCUCAUCAUGAAUACAAGACUGGUAGAAAUCUCAGGAUGUCGCCGAUCUAUCCUAAAUUAAAAGAAGCUGGUGCUGUUUUUGGUCAAGUCAUGGGAUAUGAACGCCCUAGUUGGUUUGAGCCAGCUUCUGAAGAUGAUUUUGAUCCAAUUGAUGAGUCUCGCAGAUAUAAAAUCGCUUACACAAAUACUUUCGGAAAACCACCAUGGUUUGAUGCUGUUGCUAAUGAAUAUGCUGCAUGCAGAGAAACAAUUGGUUUAAGUGACUAUUCUUCUUUUACCAAAAUUGAUCUAUGGUCAAGUGGUACAGAGGUUGUGGACUUACUCCAAUAUCUGUGUUCAAAUGACGUAGAUGUGCCAAUAGGAGGUAUUAUUCACACUGGAAUGCAGAAUCACUGCGGUGGAUAUGAAAAUGACUGUAGUUUGGCUCGUAUUUCACACAACCAUUACAUGAUGAUUGCACCGACAAUCCAGCAAACGAGGUGUAAGCAUUGGAUAAGACGUCAUCUUCCAGCAGACGGAUCCGUCGCAGUGUCUGAUGUGACAUCAGCAUAUACUGCGAUUUGCAUAAUGGGAUCUGCGACUCGGCAAUUGCUAGCUGAGCUUACUGAUACCGAUCUUAGUCCUAAAAAUUUUCCAUUUUUUACAUUCAAAGAACUUGACGUAGGUCUGGCGACUGGAAUAAGGACGAUGAAUUUGACACAUACUGGAGAGCUUGGAUAUGUCUUGUACAUUCCUAAUGAGUUUGCUCUUCAUGUAUACACGAGAUUGAUUGAAGCUGGCGAAAAAUACAGAAUGAAACAUGCUGGAUAUUAUGCGACGCGUGCUUUGCGUGUGGAAAAAUUUUAUGCAUUUUGGGGUCAAGAUCUAGAUACCUUUACAACUCCAUUAGAAUGUGGACGUGCUUGGCGUGUUAAAUUUGACAAAGACAUAGAUUUUAUUGGAAGGGAUGCAUUGAUGAAACAACGUGACACCGGAGUUGAGCGCAAAUAUGUUCAAUUAUUAUUAAUUGACCACGAUCCGGAUAUCGAUAUCUGGAGUUGGGGAGGCGAACCGAUAUAUAGAAAUGGACAGUACUGUGGAAUGACAACCACUACCGGUUAUGGAUAUACUUUCAAAAGCCAAGUAUGUCUUGGAUUUAUUCAAAAUAUUGACGACAAAGGUCGCACUCAAGUAGUGACCAAUGAGUACGUGUUAUCAGGUGACUACGAAGUUGACGUUGCAGGUAUAAGAUACCGAGCCAAAUGCCACUUACACAGCCCGAACCUGCCAACUAAAUUCCCUGACAAGGAACGUGAUUCUUAUCACGCUACUCGUGAUCAAGUAACUCGGUAAAUAAUUUUCAAAUCUAAAACCUUCCAAAUAUCUGUACAAAUAAAAACUGUAUAUAAAUUAAUAACUAUGUUAAUUUUUUAGUUCGAUA